AGUGAACGCUGGCGGUAGGCCUAACACAUGCAAGUCGAACGGCAGCACAGGAGAGCUUGCUCUCUGGGUGGCGAGUGGCGGACGGGUGAGGAAUACAUCGGAAUCUACUUUUUCGUGGGGGAUAACGUAGGGAAACAUACGCUAAUACCGCAUACGACCUACGGGUGAAAGCAGGGGACCUUCGGGCCUUGCGCGAUUGAAUGAGCCGAUGUCGGAUUAGCUAGUUGGCGGGGUAAAGGCCCACCAAGGCGACGAUCCGUGGCUGGUCUGAGAGGAUGAUCAGCCACACUGGAACUGAGACGCGGGCCAGACUCCUACGGGAGGCAGCAGUGGGGAAUAUUGGGCAAUGGGCGCAAGCCUGAUCCAGCCAUACCGCGUGGGUGAAGAAGGCCUUCGGGUUGUAAAGCCCUUUUGUUGGGAAAGAAAUCCAGCUGGCUAAUACCCGGUUGGGAUGACGGUACCCAAAGAAUAAGCACCGGCUAACUUCGUGCAAGCCGCCGCGGUAA
rnacentral:rRNA from 1 species